CAGCUCGGCCUCUCUGUCGUCUUCGGAUCUCAGAUUCGGGAUCGCUCCUCGGUCCCUGAGGAUGAGGACGAGGCGUACGAGUACGAGGUGCGAGGCGGAGCUGGAUCUGGCGGAGAAAGUCAGUGCGGAGCCGUCGUCCCGUGCCGCCAGCAUCUCCGCCCUCGAACAGUUCAAGGUCUCCGCCGCCGAUCGAUAUAUGAGGGAGAGAAGCAACAUAGCUGUUAUAGGUCUUAGCGUUCAUACAACACCUGUGGAGAUGCGUGAAAAGCUGGCCAUUCCAGAGGCACAAUGGCCCCGUGCCAUCGAAGAGCUUUGCAACUUAAAUCAUAUAGAAGAAGCUGCGGUUCUUAGCACCUGCAACCGAAUCGAGAUAUAUGUGGUGGCCCUCUCUUGGCAUCGAG
rnacentral:misc_RNA from 1 species